rnacentral:rRNA from 1 species
UACGUAGGGGGCAAGCGUUGUCCGGAUUUAUUGGGCGUAAAGAGCGUGUAGGCGGCUUUACAGGUCCGUUGUGAAAACUCGAGGCUCAACCUCGAGACGCCGGUGGAAACUGCAAAGCUAGAGUCCGGAAGAGGAGAGUGGAAUUCCUGGUGUAGCGGUGAAAUGCGCAGAUAUCAGGAGGAACACCCGUGGCGAAGGCGGCUCUCUGGGACGGUACUGACGCUGAGACGCGAAAGCGUGGGGAGCGAACAGG